rnacentral:rRNA from 1 species
CCUACGGGAGGCUGCAGUGGGGAAUAUUGGACAAUGGGGGCAACCCUGAUCCAGCCAUGCCGCGUGUGUGAAGAAGGCCCUCGGGUUGUAAAGCACUUUCAGUGAGGAAGAACGCCUGGUGGUUAAUACCCAUCAGGAAAGACAUCACUCACAGAAGAAGCACCGGCUAACUCCGUGCCAGCAGCCGCGGUAAUACGGAGGGUGCGAGCGUUAAUCGGAAUUACUGGGCGUAAAGCGCGCGUAGGUGGCUUGAUAAGCCGGUUGUGAAAGCCCCGGGCUCAACCUGGGAACGGCAUCCGGAACUGUCAAGCUAGAGAGCAGGAGAGGAAGGUAGAAUUCCCGGUGUAGCGGUGAAAUGCGUAGAGAUCGGGAGGAAUACCAGUGGCGAAGGCGGCCUUCUGGACUGACACUGACACUGAGGUGCGAAAGCGUGGGUAGCAAACAGGAUUAGAUACCCCUGUAGUC